rnacentral:lncRNA from 1 species
AUUAAAAAAAUUUUUUUGCUAUACAUUAAUAAUAAAAAGACUAUCAAAAAAGUAAAAUAAUAAAAUUUUCUAUUUCCCAUAGGAAAGCCAUAAAAAAUAAAAAACUGUAUUUUCCACACAACAGAAAUUUGAAGGGGUACCCUCAUGAAUCUUGUUUAAAAAUCACUUUUAAUUUUUUUAUUAAAAAUCUGUGCGUGUGAGAGGAAAAUGGCUUUAAUAAAAGUUGUUCAGAAUAAUAGGGACAAUAUCUAGAAAAAUAAAUUUUAAUUUUAUUUCCCAUACAGUGGGAGAAAAUCUCGGAAAACCUGUAUUACAAAAAAGGCAAUUUUCUCGAAAAGUAUUCUAUAUUAAUUUUUUUAAUUUUUAAAUUAGAUGUCUUUUUUAAGGACAAAUUGAAAAGUGUUCUAUAUAUUUCUCACAAAAAGUAACCAGAAAAGAGUUAUCGGCAUUUUUUGAUUUUUGACCAAAACGAUGGGAAAUUUAAGAAUUUUGAAAAGUUGAGCAAAUCAAAAAAAUUUUUUUGCUAUACAUUGAUAAUAAAAAUACUGUCAAAAAAGUAUAAUAAGAAAAAUUUCUAUUUUCCAUAGGAAAGCCAUAAAAAAUAAAAAACUGCAAUUUCCAUAAGAACACACGCAUAAGAGAAAUUUGAAAGGGUACCCCCAUGAAUUUUUUUUAAUUUUAUUUUUUUAUGGAAAAUCUGUGCGUGUGAGAGGAAAAUCGCUUUAAUAAAAGUUGUUCAGAAUAAUAAGGACAAUAUCCAAAAAAAUGAAUUUUAAUUUUGUUUCCCAUGCAGUGGGAGAAAAUCUCGGAAAACCUGUAUUACAAAAAAGGCAAUUUUCUCGAAAAGUAUUCUAUAUACAUUUUUUAAAUUUUUAAAUUAGAUGUCUUUUUUAAGGGCAAAUUGAAAAGUGUUCUAUAUAUUUCUCACAAAAAGCAACCAGGAAGAAGUUAUCGGCAUUUUUUGAUUUUUGACCCAAACUGGCUGGAAAAUUUAAGAAUUUUGAAAAGUUAAGCAAAUCAAAAAAUUUUUUUUGCUAUACAUUGACAAUAAAAAUACUAUCCAAAAAGUAUAAUAAGAAAAUGUUCUAUUUUCCAUAGGAAAGCCAUAAAAAAUAAAAAACUGUAAUUUCCACGCAGAACAGAAAUUUGAAGGGGGGUACCCUCAUGAAUUUUGUUUAAAAAUCACUUUUAAUUUUUUUAUUAAAAAUCUAUGCGUGUAAGAGGAAAAUGGUUUAAAUAAAAGUUGUUCAGAAUAAUAAGGACAAUAUCCAGAAAAAUAAAUUUUAAUUUUAUUUCCCAUACAGUGGGAGAAAAUCGCGGAAAACCUGUAUUACAAAAAAGACAAUUUUCUCGAAAAGUAUUGGAAAUUUUUAAUUUUUAAUUUUUAAAUUAGAUGUCUUUUUUAAGGGCAAAUUGAAAAGUGUUCUAUAUAUUUCUCACAAAAAGCAACCAGAAAGAAGUUAUCGGCAUUUUUUGUUUUUUGACCAAAACUGGCUGGAAAAUUAAAGAAUUUUGAAAAAUUGGCCAAAUCAAAAAUUUUUUUUGCUGUAUAUUGGCCAUAAAUAGAGUAUCAAAAAAGUAUAAUAGAAGAAUUUUCUAUUUCCCAUAGGAAAGCCAUAAAAAAUAAAAAACUGCAAUAUCCAUAAGAACACACGCAUAACAGAAAUUUAAAGGGGUACCCUCAUGAAUUUUUUUUUUAAAUCACUUUUAAUUUUUUUAUUAAAAAUCUGUGCGUGUGAGAGAAAAAUAGUUUAAAUAAAAGUUGUUCAGAAUAAUAAGGACAAUAUAUAGAAAAAUAAAUUUUAAUUUUAUUUCCCAUACAGUGGGAGAAAAUCUCGGAAAACCUGUAUUACAAAAAAGGCAAUUUUCUCGAAAAGUAUUCGAUAUUAAUUUUUUUUAAUUUUUAAAUUAGAUGUCUUUUUUAAGGGCAAAUUGAAAAGUGUUCUAUAUAUUUCUCACAAAAAGCAACCAGGAAGAAGUUAUCGGCAUUUUUUGAUUUUUGACCAAAACUGGCUGGAAAAUUUAAGAAUUUUGAAAAGUUGAGCAAAUUAAAAUUUUUUUUUUGCUAUACAUUGAUAAUAAAAAUACUAUCCAAAAAGUAUAAUAAGAAAAUAUUCUAUUUUCCAUAGGAAAGCCAUAAAAAAUAAAAAACUGUAAUUUCCACGCAGAACAGAAAUUUGAAGGGGUACCCUCAUGAAUUUUGUUUAAAAAUCACUUUUAAUUUUUUUAUUAAAAAUCUGUGCGUGUAAGAGGAAAAUGGUUUAAAUAAAAGUUGUUCAGAAUAAUAAGGACAAUAUCCAGAAAAAUAAAUUUUAAUUUUAUUUCCCAUACAGUGGGAGAAAAUCGGGGAAAACCUGUAUUACAAAAAAGACAAUUUUCUCGAAAAGUACUGGAAAUUUGUAAUUUUUUAUUUUUGAAUUAGAUGUCUUUUUUAAGGACAAAUUGAAAAGUAUUCUAUAUAUUUUUCACAAAAAGCAACCAGAAAGAAGUUAUGGGCAUUUUUUGUUUUUUGACCAAAACUGGCUGGAAAAUUUAAGAAUUUUGAAAAGUUACCAAAUUAAAAUUUUUUUUUUUGUUAUACAUUGACAAUAAAAAUACUAAUUAAAAAGUAUAAUAAGAAAAAUGUCUAUUUUGCAUAGGAAAGCCAUAAAAAAUAAAAAACUAAUUUCCACGCAUAACAGAAAUUUGAAGGGGUACGUACCCUCAUGAAUUUUUCUUAAAAAUCACUCUUAAUUUUUUUAUUUAAAAUGUGUGCGUGUGAGAGGAAAAUCUUUUAAAUUAAAGUUGUUCAGAAUAAUAAGGACAAUAUCUAGAAAAAUAAACUUUAAUUUUAUUUGCCAUACAGUGGGAGAAAAUCGCGGAAAACCUGUCUUACAAAAAAGGCAAUUUUUUUGAAAAGUAUUCGACAUUAAUUUUUUUUAUUUUUAAAUUAGAUGUCUUUUUUAAGGACAAAUUGAAAAAUGCUCUAUAUAUUUCUUACAAAAAGCAACCAGAAAGAAGUUAUAGGCAUUUUUUUGAUUUUUGACCCAAACUCGCUGGAAAAUUUAAGAAUUUUGAAAAGUUGGCAAAAUCAAAAAAAAAAUUUUUGCUCUAUAUUGGCUGUAAAUAGAUUAUCAAAAAAGUAUAAUAGAAGAAUUUUCUAUUUCCCAUAGGAAAGUCAUAAAAAAUAAAAAACUGUAAUUUCCAUAAGAAUACACGCAUAACAGAAAUUUGAAGGGGUACCCCUAUGAAUUUUUUUUAAUUUUAUUUUUUUAUGGAAAAUCUGUGCGUGUGAGAGAAAAAUCGCUUUAAUAAAAGUUAUUCAGAAUAAUAAGGACAAUAUCUGAAAAAAUUAAUUUUAAUUUUAUUUCCCAUACAGUGGGAGAAAAUCUCGGAAAACCUGUAUUACAAAAAAGACAAUUUUCUCGAAAAGUAUUGGAUAUUAAUUUUUUACGGAAAAUAUGUUUGUGUGAGAGAAAAAUGGCUUAAAUAAAAGUUGUUCAGAAUUAUAGCGGCAACCUCUAGAAAAACAAAUUUUAAUUUUAUUUCCCAUACAGUGGGAGAAAAUCUCGAAAAUUACAAAAAAGGCAAAUUUCUUAAAAAGUAUUCGAUAUUAAAUUUUAAACUUAAGAAUUUUAAAAAAUUGACCAAAUCAAUAAUUUGACGGGUCGCCAUUUUGUCUUUUACGCAGUUUCUUGUGAUCAAGUGGCCAUUUUAAAUUUGACAGCCGCGAAUCGAAGUCAACAACGUCAAAUGCAUAACCUAAUCGUAUCUGAUUAACUCAUUUUGAAUUUUCUAAAACUGACUUUUUCCGGUUUUUUCUGGUUGACGCGGCGCCCUCUAGACCCGCUCAAUCCGAGUUUGAAUUGUCACCCUGAGACACAAUGAGACCGAAAUGACGCUUAAGAUAGAGACUAAAAAAAAAACACGUUUUUUAAAUGUUACAUGUAAAUAAAACCUUUGGUAGAUUAUAUAUAUAUAUUAUACAUAAUAUAUUGUUUGAUAAAUGUAAAUCAUAUCUUUAUAUAUAUAUUACCUGGAUAUUGUGUUAAACAAAAAAAAUGAGUCAAUCUAAAUGUGGUUUUCGUUAACAAAAUGGCGGAACGUCGGUCACUUUUCGACGUCUGAGCCCCAGUUAGGAGUGACCGACGUAAACCGAUUAAUUUACAAAUUGUCCCGUAAUUAAUUGUAAUGGAGCGAACUCUCCAUUAAGCGUUACUGGUAACUCUCUUAAUGGAGAUUUUACGAUUAUUAUUAUUUCCACGGUCGAUUGGGCCUUUAGCGUAUAGAGAUUAAAUGUUCCUGUAUUUAUUAUUAUUAUUAUUUAACGAAUCAUGAAAUAAAUUGUACGUGUUACAUGUU